rnacentral:rRNA from 1 species
GAUGAACGCUGGCGGCGUGCUUAACACAUGCAAGUCGAACGAGAAAUGGAGACGGACACCUUCGGGCGGAAGGCUUCAUUUCGAGUGGCGGACGGGUGAGUAACACGUGGGUAACCUGCCUCAUACAGGGGGAUAACAGUUGGAAACGACUGUUAAUACCGCAUAAGACCACAGCACCGCAUGGUGCGGGGGUAAAAACUCCGGUGGUAUGAGAUGGACCCGCGUUCGAUUAGCCAGUUGGCGGGGUAACGGCCCACCAAAGCGACGAUCGAUAGCCGAUCUGAGAGGAUGACCGGCCACAUUGGGACUGAGACACGGCCCAAACUCCUACGGGAGGCAGCAGUGGGGAAUAUUGCACAAUGGGGGAAACCCUGAUGCAGCGACGCCGCGUGAGUGAAGAAGUACUUCGGUAUGUAAAGCUCUAUCAGCAGGGAAGAAAAUGACGGUACCUGAGUAAGAAGCCCCGGCUAACUACGUG